GUGCUUCAGCAGCAUAUACCCAAAAAGUGGAAAGCUCCAGAGAAGAUUAUUAGCAUGGCCCCUGUACAAGAACAAGGGAGUGAGAGUUGGUGCAAGCAUUU
rnacentral:snRNA from 1 species